CACUAAAGUUGGCCACUUUCCUAAAAUGGAAAUAUUUAUCACAUUUUAUCUCCUACUUUAUCACAUUCUCUCUCCUACUUUAUCACUUUAUUACCUUCUCUCUCAUACUUUAUCACAUCCUCUCUCCUACUUUAUCACUUUAUUAUCUUCUCUCUCUCACUUUAUCACCUUCUAUUUCUUACUUUAUUACUUUUAUACUUUAUUAACUACACACUUAAAAUACUAAUCUACAACUCCUUAAUUCCC
rnacentral:lncRNA from 1 species